rnacentral:misc_RNA from 1 species
GGGGUUCUCAUUUUUUCCUCAUUUUUGAUGAGGCUAUGGAUUGAUUCUUGAGCUAUGGGGUUUCAUAAAAAAUGGGUGGGGGUUAUUUUUUAUUGUUAAAUGAGUUGAAGCUUCAAUUUUUUCCAUUGAAAAUACUUACAUGAUAGUUAGGGUAGGUUUCUUGGUUGCUGCUUCUAUAGCUGCUUAUGCAGUUAAGCAGAUAAAUGUAAAACCUUCAAAGCCAUCAUUAGAAAAUGGUGAACCAUUGCUUGAACAACGAGGGGACGAAGGGGAUGAAAAGGAGCAGCUUUUGUAUUCGACGGAUGGCCUCAAAGAAGUGGUUGAUGAGGAAGAAGAGAAAGAAGAAGUUAAAUUAAUCAAUGGAAUUAUAAAUCCAGCACAGGGUAACCAGAUUGAUCUUGAUGAUGAUCUUUUCCCUGAAUUUGAAGAUCUUUUAUCCGGGGAGAUUGAAUUUCCGUUACCAAGUGACAAGUAUGAUACAGGAAGAGAAGAGAGAGAGAGGGUUUACCAAACUGAGAUGGCCUACAACGCGAAUGAACUUGAAAGAUUGCGAAACCUUGUUAAGGAACUUGAGGAAAGGGAGGUGAAGCUUGAAGGGGAGUUGCUUGAGUAUUAUGGUUUGAAGGAACAAGAGUCGGAUGUCCUCGAAUUACAAAAGCAGCUCAGGAUUAAGGCUGUUGAGAUUGACAUGCUCAACAUCACGAUAAAUACGUUACAGGCUGAGAAACAAAAGCUUCAAGAGGAGGUUUUUCAUGGAACUACUGCUAGGAAAGAUCUAGAAGCUGCUAGAAGCAAGAUUAAGGAGCUGCAAAGGCAGAUGCAACUCGAAGCUAACCAAACGAAAGCUCAGUUGUUGUUGCUAAAACAACAUGUCACUGGACUUCAAGAAAAGGAAGAGGAAGCUUUCAAGAGAGAUUCCGAGGUUGACAAGAAGCUUAAACUUGUGAAGAGGAAGCUUUCAAGAGAGAUUCCGAGGUUGACAAGAAGCUUAAACUUGUGAAGGAGUUGGAAGUGGAGGUCAUGGAACUUAAGAGGAAGAACAAAGAACUUCAGCACGAAAAGAGAGAGUUGGUUAUUAAAUUGGAUGCUGCUGAAUCUAAAAUAGCGAAGUUGUCUAAUAUGACGGAGAAUGAAAUGGUUGCUCAGGUGAGGGAAGAAGUAACUAAUUUGAAGCAUACAAAUGAUGAUCUUCUAAAACAAGUAGAAGGACUUCAAAUGAAC